AUCGGAUUUGAACCGAGUAGAACUUACGCCUUACCAUGGCGUUACUCUACCACUGAGUUAAAAGGG
rnacentral:tRNA from 1 species